rnacentral:rRNA from 1 species
AUUGAACGCUGGCGGCAGGCCUAACACAUGCAAGUCGAACGAGUGGCGGACGGGUGAGUAAUGUCUGGGAAACUGCCUGAUGGAGGGGGAUAACUACUGGAAACGGUAGCUAAUCCCGCAUACCAUCAGAUGUGCCCAGAUGGGCUUAGCUAGUUGGUGGGGGAAAGGUUCACCCAGGCGACGAUCCCUAGCUGGUCUGAGAGGAUGACCAGCCACACUGGAACUGAGACACGGUCCAGACUCCUACGGGAGGCAGCAGUGGGGAAUAUUGCAAAAUGGGCGCAAGCCUGAUGAAGACAUUCCGCGUGUAUGAAGAAGGCCUUCGGGUUGUAAAGUACUUUCAUAGGGGAGGCGUUACCCGCAGAAGAAGCACCGGCUAACUCCGUGCCAGCAGCCGCGGUAAUAC